CCUACGGGCGGCAGCAGUGAGGAAUAUUGGUCAAUGGACGAGAGUCUGAACCAGCCAAGUAGCGUGAAGGAUGACUGCCCUAUGGGUUGUAAACUUCUUUUAUAUGGGAAUAAAACGUUCCACGAGUGGGAUUUUGUAUGUACCAUAUGAAUAAGGAUCGGCUAACUCCGUGCCAGCAGCCGCGGUAAUACGGAGGCUCCGAGCGUUAUCCGGAUUUAUUGGGUAUAAGGGGAGCGUAUGUGGAUUGUUAAGUCAGUUGUGAAAGUUUGCGGCUCAACCGUAAAAUUGCAGUUGAAAAUGGCAGUCUUGAGUACAGUAGAGGUGGGCGGAAUUCGUGGUGUAGCGGUGAAAUGCUUAGAUAUCACGAAGAACUCCGAUUGCGAAGGCAGUUCACUGGACUGCAACUGACACUGAGGCUCGAAAGUGUGGGUAUCAAACAGGAUUAGAUACCCCGGUAGUC
rnacentral:rRNA from 1 species